rnacentral:misc_RNA from 1 species
GUAGGUGAACCUGCGGAAGGAUCAUUAAUGAGUUAGGGUCUUCUAGGCCCGAUCUCCAACCCUUUGUAUAAAUACCAUGUUGCUUUGGCGGGCCCGUCUUUAACCGGACCGCCGAAGGUUUUUAAACCUUUGGCCAGUGCUCGUCAAUAGCCCACAAUCAAAUUCUUUUAACCAUGUCAAAUCUGAAAACUAGUUAAAUAAACUAAAACUUUCAACAACGGAUCUCUUGGUUCUG